rnacentral:antisense_RNA from 1 species
AUCAGGGCUAAUUUCCAUCCCUAAAGGACAAACCUGUAACAACUGAAUUUUGGUCACUUCUAAUUCCGCCUUUCGUAAAUGCGAUGGAGACAACUCUUCCCUUCAGAACCAUGAUCAAAGCAAUUUACGCUUUGCAGCUUGCUGAGAAAACAACAUGGGCAAAUUCUCACAAAGGGUCUAAGGUAUGAAGACCAACCCUGCCCUCAAGUGCUGUUCAGGCUUAGCAGCUGAUCUGGUUGAAAUCAGGGAAAGUUUAGAAGUCUCUCAUCCUUACGCUUCUGGAUGCAGACAUGAUUUUAAGAAGAAAGGCAAGGAGAAAGGAAAGAAAAGCCCAUUUUGGAAACCACCGUAUUCCAAUUUCUCUCAGCUUAACAUCAGUCAUUUUUCUUACCUUCUUUUAGGGAAUCUCACUUGCAACCACCUAAAAGGAGUAUUUUCAACUAAAAUUUUACACAUUUGAAUUACAAACUCAAAACAUGCUGGUCAUAACAAAUUAAAUGACAAGGAAGCACCUGAGUCACACCGUAUGGGAGCUAUGUGGUGUAUAAAGGUUGCAGUGAGCUGAGAUCCAUGUAAAGGGAAGGCCACAGAAGCACCCAAAGCAUCAUGGGUCGGCCACAGAAGAAGACAAUUUUGACUCCCUGCACAGGAUACUAUCUUGGUACCACUCACUUUCCUCCCUGCAAAAUCUGAAUAUUGGUCACAUAUAUUCAACAUAUGUCCAAGAAGCUUCUUAUGUAUGUCUCCUGCCUCUUCUUUCCAUACCUCCCAAAUGUUGAUCCAAAACACUGAUCAAUUUUAAUAAAUUAAGCAAAGUUUUGAAAA